GUGCUUGCUUCAGUAGCACAUAUAUUCUAAAACUGGAAUGAUAUAGAGAAGAUUAGCAUGGACGCUGUGUAAGGAUGACAUGCAAAUUAAUGAAGCAUUCCAUAUUUUU
rnacentral:snRNA from 1 species